rnacentral:rRNA from 1 species
UACGGGGGGGGUAAGCGUUGUUCGGAAUUACUGGGCGUAAAGGGCGCGUAGGCGGUCGUGACAAGUCACUUGUGAAAUCUCCGGGCUUAACUCGGAACGGUCAAGUGAUACUGUCGGACUAGAGUACAGAAGGGGCAACUGGAAUUCUCGGUGUAGCGGUGAAAUGCGUAGAUAUCGAGAGGAACACCUGCGGCGAAGGCGGGUUGCUGGGCUGAUACUGACGCUGAGGCGCGAAAGCCCAGGGGAGCGAACGGG